CCUACGGGUGGCAGCAGUGAGGAAUAUUGGUCAAUGGUCGCGAGACUGAACCAGCCAAGUAGCGUGAGGGAUGACUGCCCUACGGGUUGUAAACUUCUUUUGUAAGGGAAUAAAGUUGGGCACGUGUGCCUUUUUGUAUGUACUUUAUGAAUAAGGAUCGGCUAACUCCGUGCCAGCAGCCGCGGUAAUACGGAGGAUCCGAGCGUUAUCCGGAUUUAUUGGGUUUAAAGGGAGCGUAGGUGGGUUGUUAAGUCAGUUGUGAAAGUUUGGGGCUCAACCGUAAAAUUGCAGUUGAGACUGGCAGUCUUGAGUACAGGUGAGGUAGGCGGAAUUCGUGGUGUAGCGGUGAAAUGCGUAGAUAUCACGAAGAACUCCGAUUGCGAAGGCAGCUUAC
rnacentral:rRNA from 1 species